rnacentral:sRNA from 1 species
AUGGCCCGAGAGUUGUUGCCGAGCGGGCAGCCGAGCUGGUCAGGUGCAGCUGGACGAACCCAGGCGCGACACCCGAAGAAUUGCCCAUUCCAUUACACUGGGAAAUCAAUGAAAAUGGGCCUCCCAUGUUCCUGACCACUCUAUCGUUCAACAUGACAAGUGCCCUUCCACGGGGCCUGAUAUUUCUGACGAACGCGUAAUAGUAUCGCUUUUCAACAGCGUCCCUGGUUAUCCAUUUCUUUUAGGUCAGGUAUUCUGUUUGAAAAUGUUGAUUUAUACUUUGGGACUAGAUCAUCUGGAUGCCUUUUGACGUAGUUGAAAUGAAAGAACAAUACGGGG